UGCCCUUUUUUAUGCAUUUAUUCAUAUAUCACAUAUUUUUUGUCUUCCUCUCUCCUCUAUCACGUUCUCAUUAGCAUUCUUCUCCUCGUUUUCCUCUGCUUCACAUCUUCCUUAAAUUCCCAUUGUUUAUUCCCCUCUUUUAAUUUAGCUGUCUUCGUCCACUUAUUUCGCUCAUUUUCCUAUCCUCCCACUUUCUCUCUCUUCCUUCUCUUCCCCCAAUUCGCGAACCCUAAUGACGGCGGUGGUAAUGUUGGCUUUGUAAUUAGCCAUUGAAAGAGACUUCAAUGAAUUCGAUUAUGAAACUAAUUCAAUCAUAAUUUGUUUCUGAAGAGUAAUUAUCAGAAUAUGAAUGAUGGAGGGAUGCUUACAGAUUUGUUGUUAUUCCUCGGGAGUCGGGAUGUGCAAAGCUAUAGUGACUGUGCUAAAUUGUGGAGGUACUAAUUUUCUAAGGUACUGCGUAUGUUAGAACAUAAGGUUAUGUUUUUCGUGUUUGCAAUCAAUUGAUGAACUGUGAAGGGAUUAUAAAGAACUUUUAUGCUUUGACUUGGGCUACUAAACCAGUCCAUCACAAAACUAUGCCCCUUUUCUACCAUUCUGUAGCAUUUUUUAAAACUUUCAUGAUCCUACUCUAAAUUAGUCUAAGUUUAGUAAGCUGUGAAAUAUGGUAUUAUUUUGGAAAAGAUGGUGCAAAUUUACAAGUUGGAUGGACUAUAGAACCCCAAGAGACUUAAAAUAUGAUCAGAAGGAGAGAAGGUAUUUUAGUAUUGUAUACUUUAUAUACUCUAACAAGAUAUGUUGUCAAUUAAUCCUGAACAAGCUAAAAGUAUGAAACUUUAUUAGAAUAUGCUAUUAUGCUGUAAUAUUUUCCCAUUAAUACCAGUUGAUUAUAUUUGUGUACUAUUAUUGGCAUCUUCUAUAUUAUUAUUGUCUAGGUAUGACUAGGGUAGCUACUAGUUCUUACCAUCUUAUGUAAUGCAAAAGUAUGGUUCAAGAAAGCAGUAAGAAGCGAUGAGGAAAACUUCACUUCUCCACCACAGCAUAUGCACAAAGUGUUGGAGGAACUAAUAUAACCAGAAGGGAAGCCCAGCAACGUUGUGCUGAAGCCGCUUUUGAUGAAUUUGGCUGGUAAGGUUACCUGAAUAAAACUUCGAUCUUUCGUUUGUAUUAUAUGUCAUUUUCUUCUCUGCCUCUCUAUGAUUCCUUAAUAUGUGAGGCUUUAUGUAUCAAUAAUCUUGGCUUUACUGCUACAAUAACAUAUCCUUUAUGGAGAUGCUGUCCCAAAAUACUACUCCAUGCCUUUCCAGUAUGGAGAUGAUGUCCUGUUCCUAGGAAACAAAGCAGUGCUGGGCUGUAGGGGAUUCUCAAAUAGCUUUUCUUUGGUGCUAAAGCCUAUCUACUCGCCACACUAUCAAGUUGGACAGAAAUUACUAUGUGAUGCUCUUUGUUCCUGUUGGGUACACCUUUGGUGCUGGUAUGUUUAAGAUGGACAGAUUGGACACAAUACGUGGAGGUUCUCCUUAUGGUGCUGGAGUUUUUGCAAAAGAUGGCACUGGAGAACUGAUACUAAGCUAGCACUCGCAGAGCACCAAGGCAAGUUUAUGGCAGCAGUUUUCAAGAGCCUUGCCAAUCCCUGAUAUUCCUCCAUCAUUCAGGUUUCUGUCACAUUCGAUGGAUUCCAAAUUAUGUGCCCCUUCGACUGAAUUAUAUAUGUCCCAUUAAUUAUAUUGAUAUUUUGGUUUUCAGAUAUAGCCAUCUGGCCACUGUAUAGAUUUACAGGGCUUUUUGGUUUUCAUUUUCUUGUUCUUGUUAAUGUUAUUAUUAUUCUUUUAUUUUUUAUUUAUUUAUUUUAUUAUUAUUAAUUUAUUUUUUUUUGUUUAUUUUGUUGUGAUGUAUUCAUGGAGUAAAGUUGGUGUACAAAUUCAUUUGUUUUAAUAAGACUGAGGUCUAAUAGUUUUAAGUUA